AAUAGAUACCCUGGUAGUCCACGCUGUAAACGAUGGAUACUAGGUGUGGGAGGUAUCGACCCCUUCCGUGCCGCAGUAAACGCAAUAAGUAUCCCGCCUGGGGAGUACGGCCGCAAGGUUGAAACUCAAAGGAAUUGACGGGGGCCCGCACAAGCAGCGGAGCAUGUGGUUUAAUUCGAAGCAACGCGAAGAACCUUACCAGGACUUGACAUCCCCUGAAUUACUCGUAACGGAGGAAGUCCUUCGGGACAGGGAGACAGGUGGUGCAUGGUUGUCGUCAGCUCGUGUCGUGAGAUGUUGGGUUAAGUCCCGCAACGAGCGCAACCCUUAUCCUUAGUUGCUAGCAGUAAGAUGAGCACUCUAGGGAGACUGCCGGGGACAACUCGGAGGAAGGUGGGGAUGACGUCAAAUCAUCAUGCCCCUUAUGUUCUGGGCUACACACGUGCUACAAUGGGUAAAACAACGGGAAGCAAGCUAGUGAUAGCAAGCAAAUCCCUAAAAGUUACUCUCAGUUCGGAUUGUAGGCUGCAACUCGCCUACAU
rnacentral:rRNA from 1 species